CCCUCUUCUUUAAUUUAAAAAAAGAAAAGAAAAAAGGAAGUCUUUCGUCUUGCUGACCGAGUUGCUGACUGAAAGAAGCGAGUGUGUGAGAGUGUGUGUGUGUGUGAGUGACUGUGCGCACCAGCGUCUCUCACAGCCUGCGCACGGAGCAGAGGACUCGGAUCGCACUCCGCCAGCAGCCUCUCACUGCUCUCAUUUGAGAGCGCGGCUUGCGGCACACGCACACAAGCUUUCUCUCUCUCCUUCUCCUAUUUUUCUCCUGCAUUCGGACUCCAAUUGAGAGGGGACUUAACACACACGACCAGCUGCGGAUGACAUCCCGAGCCCCUAAAAACGUGAGGUCAAACUAUCCCAAAAAAGUCCUACGAGAGAAGUAUUUGAGUAAGGAAGGACUAAAAAAGCUUGGAAAUCAGAUGGAUGUUUCUCCUAGCUGCUCCUGCAGACAGGAAUCCACUCGCAAAGACGAAAGCCACGCUCUCCCCCAGGAGAGGAGUACAAAGGCCAGUCUGCACGCGGCAGAUGCAAAACCAAGUCCAUCUGCUGCAGGCUUCCCAUCGCCACAUGGAGAUUGAAAAGGCUUUAGACCGCAAGGUCAAUGAGGACUAACAAUUCCAGCAGCGGCUCUCGAGUGCAUGCAGAAGAAAGUGUCGGGUGAUGGGGGAUGGACUCGUGUGAUGGCAGAGCUGGUGUCUCUGAGCACUGGCAUAAUUUCCAUGGCAACCCCCUUAACUAUUAAUUUUCAAUUAAAGCAGACACAAAAUGCCCUGACCCGAGUCUAUGGAAGGUGUCCAGAGUGGGAAACUGGGCCUUUUUGGAGCCAUGACAUCAAUAGGCUCCUUCAUAGUGGCAAAAAUCACACCCCUAAACAACACUGAGCAUCUAAAUCCUAUUUUUAUUUCACAAUCACACGAGUGAGAACAUCAAAACCACAAUUUAAACUCAUGCAAGGUAAAUAUUAAUGUUUAAUGGGAUGAUAUUUGAAUUAUGUCCCUUGGUCGAUUACCAGAGGUGUU